UUUUAUUUAAAAAUCCAAACCCUUCCGCCCCUGCGUUCCCUCCAAGCUGCUCUUCCACCUUCCAAACCGCCAACGACCGAUCAACCGUACAGAACGAAAUUAUGAAUUUCGAGCAGCGCCUCAUGGCGGCAGCUACUAUUAUAAUCGACGCCGACGUACGAGCCAGUGACUGCCCCAUAAACGCCACAGAAAUUGGGGUUACAGCCACGCUGAAACCUCAUCAAGUGGAAGGUCUCUCAUGGCUUAUACGGAGAUAUCUUCUCGGUGUCAAUGUUAUUCUCGGAGAUGAGAUGGGACUGGGGAAAACCCUGCAAGCUAUAUCUUUUUUAAGUUACUUGAAAGUUCACCGGAUGUCACAUGGACCAUUUUUGGUACUGUGUCCUCUAAGUGUUACAGAUGGCUGGGUUUCAGAGAUGGCCAAAUUCACUCCAAAACUGAAGGUUCUCAGGUAUGUAGGAGACAAAGAACACCGGCGCAAUCUACGCAAAGCAUUGUAUGAACAUGUAAAAGAGCAUCCCUCAUCAACUGAUGGUUCCUUCUUGCCUUUUGAUGUGCUCUUGACAACCUAUGAUAUAGCAUUGAUGGAUCAAGAUUUUCUUUCUCAAAUUCCUUGGCAUUAUGCAAUAAUUGACGAAGCUCAAAGACUUAAAAAUCCUUCAAGUGUGCUAUAUAACAUUCUCAAGGAGCACUUCCUCAUGCCAAGACGGCUAUUGAUGACUGGCACGCCUAUUCAGAAUAAUCUUACUGAACUCUGGGCUUUGUUGCAUUUUUGCAUGCCUUCAAUGUUUGGGAAACAUGAGCAGUUCCUUUCCACAUUCAAAGAAGCUGGGGAUCUUACAUCAGAUCUUGAUGCAGCCAAGGUGAAGGGGCAGCUGAAGACUUUAAAAUGCAUAAUGAAAGCCUUAAUGCUAAGAAGAACAAAAUCUAAGCUAAUAGAGGGUGGAAACUUAGUGCUGCCACCACUUACUGAGAUUACUGUGAUGGCUCCACUGGUCAGCCUGCAAAAGAGUGUGUACACAUCAAUAUUGAGGAAGGAACUCCCAAAACUUCUGGCAUUGUCAUCUUUUAAUAAUCAAUCUCUCCAGAAUAUUGUAAUACAACUACGAAAAGCAUGUAGCCAUCCUUACCUAUUUCCUGGUAUUGAGCCUGAGCCUUUUGAAGAGGGUGAACACCUAGUUCAGGCUAGUGGAAAGCUUAUAAUUUUGGAUAAGCUACUUCAGAAACUUCAUGAUUUUGGACAUCGUGUUCUUCUCUUUGCUCAGAUGACUCAUACACUUGACAUAUUACAGGAUUUUUUGGAGUUGCGCAAGUAUUCCUACGAGCGUCUUGAUGGUUCAGUUCGGGCUGAGGAACGUUUUGCUGCCAUAAGAAGUUUUAGUGGGCAAUUAGGGAAGAUGAAUUCUGAAUUUGACGAAAAUAGUGCUUUUGUUUUCUUGAUAUCUACAAGAGCAGGGGGAGUUGGCUUAAAUCUUGUGGCUGCAGAUACGGUUAUAUUCUAUGAGCAAGAUUGGAAUCCCCAGGUUGACAAGCAGGCUUUGCAGCGGGCUCACCGGAUUGGUCAAAUGAAUCAUGUGUUGUCCAUAAACUUGGUUACAAGGCAUACUGUAGAAGAGGUUAUUAUGCGGAGAGCAGAGAGGAAAUUGCUGCUUAGUCAUAAUGUUAUAGGAGAUGAUACUGUGGAACAGAAUGGAAAGGGAACAUCUGGAGUUGAAACUAUUGACUUGAAAUCUAUCAUAUUUGGGUUACAUAUGUUUGAUCCUUCUGAGAUCAGUACUGAAAAGUCAGACGAACUAAACAUGCCAGAAUUGAAUGCUAUGACAGCGAAAGUAAUUGCUAUGCGUGAUGAUCAGAGAUUGGGAGGGACGGAUAGCAAGUAUGAGGUUAAUCAAAUUGAUGUCAUUAGUGGGGGAAAUUCUGCUUUUGUAGAUUAUGAUCAUGGGCUUGAUGAGGAAAUGUAUCAAUCAUGGGUCAGAAAAUUUAAGGAAGCAUCACAAUCAAGUGGCAACCAAGUCUUGGAUUUGGGGCAUAGAAGGAACUUGCCUGAGGAUAAGCAUCUUAAACUUGAGGCUGCAAGGAAGAAAGCUGAGGAGAAAAAGUUGUUCAAGUGGGAAUCACUUGGAUACCAUUCGUUGUCUGUUAAAGAUCCUGACCCAGCUGUGGAUGGUGAUGUAUUGUCAGAUUCAGGUUCUCUUCAUUUUGUUUUCGGAGAUUGUACAGAUCCAGCAAAAGUUUGCCCAUCUGAGCCCACCAUAAUAUUCAGUUGUGCUGAUAACUCUGGAAAUUGGGGCCAUGGAGGAAUGUUUGAUGCACUGGCCAAGCUGUCUACAAGUAUCCCUGAUGCAUAUCAACGGGCAUCUGAAUUUGGGGACCUUCAUCUUGGUGAUCUCCAUCUUAUAAGAAUUAAUGGGGACUCUGACAGACAGAGCUUGGAAGAUGAUCCUCCUCGGUGGGUGGCUUUAGCUGUUGUGCAAUCAUAUAAUCCUAGGCGUAAAGUGCCCCGCAGUAAUAUCUCUAUUCUCGACUUGGAGCGUUGCCUAUCCAAAGUUUCAUUUGCAGCAGCUAAGAAUUCUGCUUCAAUCCACAUGCCUCGAAUUGGGUAUCAAGAUGAAUCAGAUCGAUCACAGUGGUACACAGUAGAACGUCUUCUACGAAAAUACGCUUCUAUUUAUAGCACAAAGAUAUAUGUGUAUUAUUAUCGACGAUCAUCUUGAAGCUUGUGGAAUUGUCUUUGUGAGGUUCUUGACAUUUGGAGUCGACUCAUAGAACUAGCUAUUCUCUCUGCAUGAAAUCCGAUGGAAGCAGCAACCUACCAUGUAUGUUUACUCCAGUGACAUAUGCGGCCACAACCCCAACUCACUGCUCAACAAACCCAUGUCCACUUUAAUAUAUAUGGGCUA